rnacentral:rRNA from 1 species
GACGAACGCCGGCGGCGUGCUUAACACAUGCAAGUCGAACGGAAAGGCCCUGCUUUUGUGGGGUGCUCGAGUGGCGAACGGGUGAGUAACACGUGAGUAACCUGCCCUUGACUUUGGGAUAACUUCAGGAAACUGGGGCUAAUACCGGAUAGGAGCUCCCGCUGCAUGGUGGGGGUUGGAAAGUUUCGGCGGUUGGGGAUGGACUCGCGGCUUAUCAGCUUGUUGGUGGGGUAGUGGCUUACCAAGGCUUUGACGGGUAGCCGGCCUGAGAGGGUGACCGGCCACAUUGGGACUGAGAUACGGCCCAGACUCCUACGGGAGGCAGCAGUGGGGAAUAUUGCACAAUGGGCGGAAGCCUGAUGCAGCAACGCCGCGUGCGGGAUGACGGCCUUCGGGUUGUAAACCGCUUUCGCCUGUGACGAAGCGUGAGUGACGGUAAUGGGUAAAGAAGCACCGGCUAACUACGUG